UGCCAGCAGCCGCGGUAAUACGAAGGGGGCUAGCGUUGUUCGGGAUUACUGGGCGUAAAGCGCGCGUAGGUGGUUUAUUAAGUGGGAUGUGAAAGCCCCGGGCUUAACCUGGGAACUGCAUUCCAAACUGAUGAACUAGAGUACGAUAGAGGGGGGUAGAAUUCAGAGUGUAGCGGUGAAAUGCGUAGAUAUUCUGAGGAAUACCGGUGGCGAAGGCGGCUCACUGGCUCGAUACUGACGCUGAGGUGCGAAAGCGUGGGGAGCAAACAGGAUUAGAUA
rnacentral:rRNA from 1 species